GAUAAAGUGGCUGAGUUAUAGGCGUUAGAUUGUAAAUCUAAGAACAAGUAAAACUUCUUUAUUA
rnacentral:tRNA from 1 species